UUGAGCCCCACUUUCCACUGCUGACUUUGGUCUUUGUCCCCCGUUUGCAUCUCAUCUAGUUGUGAUCUUUGUGGAGAAUGUGAAGGGAAGAGCCUGCAACUUUGGAGGAACCACUGUCUUCUCCAGUAACAGGCCAGGCCUUCAAGCAAGCUCUAGGACCUCGUGUUUAAGAAGAAGGAAGAAAAAAAAAAAUGCUUCCAACGUUGUGCCAUUAAAAAUAACUUUGAGGAACUUAGGAUGCUGGGAAACCAAGCAACCAGCUCGCCUCCCAAGUAAGCAGCAGUGGUGUGGCAGGCUGCAGCCCCUCCAGGGGGAGAACCACCAACGUCUCCUGAGAUCAGCACCAUGUUGGAACUUAGGGUGCUGGAAAACCAAGCAACCAGCCUGCCUCCCUGAUUCCCCUGAGAGGAUUGAUUUACCCAGCUUGGGUUCUUCUGCCAAGUCACAUCAAUCACUGGUCAUCGUUUGCCAGCCGAUAGGGUGCUCCUCUGGUUUCUGAUGGAAAGGAGACCGUGAAAUAUUUCAGCGUGUGUAUCUGACCAAUUUCCUUAAUGUUAUGCUCUUAAGUUUCACCCAUUUAUGUAUGAAUCCCUCAAGUUUAUCCUGUUUUCUGGCAGAGCAGUACUCAACUGCUUACAAUACAUUUUCCUUAUUCAUUCAUCUCUUGACAGACAUUGUGCUGUCUCCAGGAUCUAGCUAUUACACAUUGCACUGCUAUAAAUGCAAUGUGUAUGCAUGUAUCCUUGUAAUAUGAUGUUCUACCUUUUGGGGAAGAUAUCUAGAAGGAGAAAACCUGGGUCAAAUUUUUGAAGAAUCUCCACACUGAUUUCCAGAGGGGUUGUAGGGCUGAUAUCUCUUUACCUGACAUCAUAUGAGAACAGAAUCAGCAUGCCCCUGAGCUUUUAUACAGGAGUAAGUUGUAAGAAUGUGUCUUAGAAGACUCUUUGAGAGCAUGUAAGACUUCUUUCACCUUGAAGCAGGCUGCUGAGGUGGCCCCAGGCAGCGGCCUGGGUUGUGCAGCUUCUGAGAGCCUCCUCUGGUGUCCUAGUGAAACAACAUGGUCCUCUCCCAUCUGUCAGGCCUAAUUUUGCCAUCAGAAAUGUCUCAUCUCUGCUGAUGGGAGGUCAUCUGGUUGAGAACUUUAUGAGACUGAUUCUGAUUAACUAUGGAGAGUUUCACCACCUACCAGAAGAUGCUAAAAGAUAACCCAAGGACACUCUAGACCUUCCUGGGUUGGAGUUAACUGCUUUUAUCCAUUUGAACCAGCUCAAAGCCCAGUGCCUUCAGAUGACUGUCCUCCCACUCUUUGAUGCUAAGAGUGACUGCUCAGCAUCCUGCUCAGAAUCCCCAUCACUUUUCAGGACAAAGAAAAUAAACACUGGUAAACAACA